AUUCAUUCAGCGGCUGAGGAGCCCUUUCUGGUUUUGAAAUGUUACAAAGGAAGUAUCAUUCGAGAUGCUGUGACAUUCACGACCCCUUUGGGUCCUCCUUAUAAAGAUGAAAUAAUGAAAAAUCUCCAUUUUCCAGCGGAAGUGAAUCAGGUGUGAUGGAAUUCCCUUUAGUGAAAGAACCUACUUUUUAGUUUAAUCAAUAUAAUCAGACCAUUAUUAUGGCGUGGUUUUUUUUUUCAUGCGGUAUUAGAUUGCAGUAUAGUUAUUUUUUCCCUUCUUUGAUAAUUUCCAAUAUGAGUUUUAAAUCUGGAUUGACAUGCAAUAAUUUUGAUAUGAGAUUGAACAAUUAAUAAAGCUUUGUAAACUAGAAAUUAAUAUUAUAAUUUUCAAAAAGUAAUCCUUUCAAAAAUACCUAUGUUCUAUAUAUGCUGGUAUAUUGUUCAAAUAUACAAAUAUAGAUUAUUAAUGCUUAGCAAUAAAAAUUUCGGGAUAAAAAAAAAAGCUUAUAUGCGACUAAUCGACCAGAUCGGUCAUCGACACUAAUUGAUAAUCAAAGUACUGAAGUACUAACGGGAGUUGAUUUUAUCGAUUUUUUUUUUAAAUAAACAAUAUGUUUUU
rnacentral:sRNA from 1 species